GCUGCGCUCGGCAGAGAUGAAUCUGGCCCAGGGUGUCUCUCUAGAAUGUUCCUUUGGCAAUGCCUACCAGGAAGCCUCACGCUUGUCCGUCGCCUUCCCCUUUGCACGCACAUCCCCGUGCUUGCGCUCGCGCAGGCACGCGGGGCUGCGCCGUGCGGCAAAUUGCUUAUACACAUGGCCAGCCUGACACCAAAAAUAAACAGCAUAAGCCUGGAACGGUUGUCACAAGGGGCAGAGAGAACUUGUCAGGCAGGAGUGUGUGAGCCGGCAAGAUGAUAAUGUGGCAUGACACUUCUGAAAUGAGACACCGG